rnacentral:lncRNA from 1 species
UCGAAUCGAAAAAAGUCUUAGAAUCCGUAUUGGCUCAGGUCUACGCUCUCCUCUAAAUCCAACAUUUUUUAGAUAAUUUCCUCAUUUACAAAUACAAAAUACAUUGGUUAAAUGAUGAAAACUUGUUGAAAUAAUUAGAAUACAAAAGCGGUAUCGAGUUUUACUGUAGCACGAUUUUGGUCACCAGUAUCGCCACACGCCACCUUACACGUGUCCCUGGUUCACCACACGCUGCUAUCGAAGCUGCGUGAUCAUGUUUUUUAUUAACGACCUAAGUUUGAUCACAACUUUUUAUUAGUAUCUAGAUGCCCAUGCCAUCUUCGACUGCAUAGUACAUAAAUUCCUAUAGUGCUACCGGUAGCAUCUAUAGAAGCUUUGGGCCUAGAGGUGGUUGACCACAAGGCUCUCUAACUAGUUGUCAUUUGUUCAAGUUUUGUCAUGGCCAUGUAUUGGAUGCUCUUAUCAAAAGUGCUUGUUGUUGUAUGAUCUUCAUUAUAAUAUGGAUAAUUGGAUUAGGGGGUAAGUU